AUGAGAUUCUUUGUCUUCUCUGUCUAUGACAGGAGCCUAGAGAGGCCAUCUAGUAUUGUCACCAAGGGGAGAUCACUUCUUGUCGAGAUCGAUCGAGCCUCUUCUCGAGCUCCCGGGUCCCGAUGUGUCAUGUGUUCCUCAACCUCAACACACCGUUCCUCUCCCCUUGCAGCCUCCUCUCUGCUAAGAAAAGGAGCAAGGAUGUACGCACAUGUUCCCUAA
rnacentral:rRNA from 1 species